UAGAAUUUUGCAUAAAUAAAAUUUCAGAUAUAAACUCUACAAAACAUAUAUAUCACAUACAUAAUUUUUGCUUCAAAAUAAAUUAAAACACAUAUCAAAUAUAUGCAUAUUAGGAUCUAGAUCUAAAUAUGUAUCACAUACAAUUUUCUGUUUGCAGUUCUUCUUCAUGGGAAACAUCACAAAUGGCAUCCCUACACAUCAUAAGAGAACUAGUCGAUUGG
rnacentral:lncRNA from 1 species